rnacentral:tRNA from 1 species
CUAACUGUGAUAUAAUUCACAUAAAUAGAUUCUAAAUCUAUGGCACUUCUCUGCCAAGUUAGUAU